rnacentral:rRNA from 1 species
CCGACACAGGUGGGGUGGUAGAGAAUACCGAGGGGCGCGAGGUAACUCUCUCUAAGGAACUCGGCAAAAUGGCCCCGUAACUUCGGGAGAAGGGGUGCCACCGCAAGGUGGUCGCAGUGAAGAGGCCCAGGCGACUGUUUACCAAAAACACAGGUCUCCGCUAAGUCGCAAGACGAUGUAUGGGGGCUGACGCCUGCCCAGUGCCGGAAGGUUAAGGAAGCUGGUCAGCGCAAGCGAAGCUGGCGACUGAAGCCCCGGUGAACGGCGGCCGUAACUAUAACGGUCCUAAGGUAGCGAAAUUCCUUGUCGGGUAAGUUCCGACCCGCACGAAAGGCGUAACGAUCUGGGCGCUGUCUCGGAGAGAGGCUCGGCGAAAUAGAAUUGUCUGUGAAGAUGCGGACUACGUGCACCCGGACAGAAAGACCCUAUGAAGCUUUACUGUAGCUUGGUAUUGUGCCCGGGCUCUGAAUGCGCAGGAUAGGUGGGAGGCUUUGAUCCAUUGCUUGUGGGUGAUGGUGAGCCAACGGUGAGAUACCACUCUUUCAGAGCUAGGGUUCUAACGGUCACCCGUUAUCCGGGGACCGGACAGUAUCAGGUGGGCAGUUUGACUGGGGCGGUCGCCUCCUGAAAGGUAACGGAGGCGCGCAAAGGUUCCCUCAGGCUGGUUGGAAAUCAGCCGAUGAGUGUAAAGGCAGAAGGGAGCUUGACUGUGAGACCUACAAGUCGAACAGGGACGAAAGUCGGCCUUAGUGAUCCGACGGUUCUGAGUGGAAGGGCCGUCGCUCAACGGAUAAAAGUUACUCUAAGGAUAACAGGCUGAUCUCCCCCAAGAGUUCACAUCGACGGGGAGGUUUGGCACCUCGAUGUCGGCUCAUCGCAACCUGGGGCUGAAGUCGGUCCCAAGGGUUGGGCUGUUCGCCCAUUAAAGCGGUACGCGAGCUGGGUUCAGAACGUCGUGAGACAGUUCGGUCCAUAUCCGGUGCAUGCGCAGGAAUAUUGAGAGGAUUUCUCCCUAGUACGAGAGGACCGGGAGGAACGCACCUCUGGUGUACCAGUUAUCGUGCCAACGGUAAACGCUGGGUAGCCAUGUGCGGAGUGGAUAACCGCUGAAAGCAUCUAAGUGGGAAGCCCACCUCAAGAUGAGUAUUCCCAUGGCGUUAGCCAGUAAGGUCACGGGCAGAACACCCGUUGAUAGGCUCUACGUGGAAGCCGGGUAACCGGUGAAGCGGAGGAGUACUAAUAGACCGAGGGCUUGAC